UUCACAGAAUUCCACUCCUCUCCAAUCGGGGGCCAUUCGGGCAUCCUGAAAACCCGGACUGCAAUGUCCUCCAGAUUUUACUGGCUUGGCAUGUCCGUGGACAUUAACAACUGGGUCUUGGAAUGUGAUAAAUGCCAGAAGUUUGGAAAACCUUCGACUGCUGCACAGCCAUUACAGUGUAUACAGGUGUCUGCUGUCUGGGAUCUCGUUGGCAUUGACCUGAUAGGGCCUCUCCCAAAAACUGUGGAUGGCUUCCAGUAUAUUUUAACAGCCACAGAUUACUUUUCCAAAUGGGUUGAGGCUUUCCCAUUAAAGACUAAAACCGCAGCUGAAGUGGGACGCCACAUCUGCUCUAUUAUUUAUAGACAUGGUUGUCCCAAAAGAAUCCUAUCUGACCAGGGAAAAGAAUUUGUUAAUGAACUCAACACCAGCCUCUGCAAUAUGUUGGCUAUUGAAAGGAGUGUGACAGCUGCCUAUCAUCCCAAAAC